AAGUCGUAACAAGGUUUCCGUAGGUGAACCUGCGGAAGGCCCACAGUUUCCGACUGGGCAGCCGAUAAUGACGGACGCCGUUUAAAAACUUGAACAACUGUUAACAAUGGAUAUCUUGGUUCUC
rnacentral:misc_RNA from 1 species